AAAUAUGACAUGUUUGAAAACUAUCGGUGAUACAUAACAAUCGCCAAGUUUAAAAGUUGUGUCAUAAACUAAGUAAACUGGGUCUUCAGAUUUCAGCUCAAUUAUAUCUUUGAAUGCGUUUAUGAUUUCAGGGAGUGCGACAACAGCGUAAAGAUCUGGAUAGACUAAAACUUCAGAAACAAACCCAUCUAACUGAUAUGCCAAAAG
rnacentral:lncRNA from 1 species